UACACACUCCUUAGAUCCACUUCCAGAAUGCCGUUGACACAUGUCUGUCAUUCAUAUGUGAUAUUCAUAUGUAUGUCNGUGUGUCUCAAGCAUUCAACAGCUUUACCGCUGCACAUUGGAAGUGCAUGAGUCAUUGGUGUGUUAGAUUAUUGUACCUCUUGUUGAGUUCUUCAGGUCUUUAGCCGACUAACAGCAGUGAUUAUUUACUGAGGUACUUAGUUGCUGGGUUAGUUUCUUUGUUGCUUCAGACNGGACUCAACAAGGGACAUN
rnacentral:snoRNA from 1 species